rnacentral:rRNA from 1 species
GAUGAACGCUGGCGGCGUGCCUAAUACAUGCAAGUCGAGCGAACAGACGAGGAGCUUGCUCCUCUGACGUUAGCGGCGGACGGGUGAGUAACACGUGGAUAACCUACCUAUAAGACUGGGAUAACUUCGGGAAACCGGAGCUAAUACCGGAUAAUAUAUUGAACCGCAUGGUUCAAUAGUGAAAGACGGUUUUGCUGUCACUUAUAGAUGGAUCCGCGCCGCAUUAGCUAGUUGGUAAGGUAACGGCCUACCAAGGCAACGAUGCGUAGCCGACCUGAGAGGCGGAUCGGCCACACUGGAGCUGAGACACGGUCAAGACUCCUACGGGAGGCAGCAGUAGGGAAUCUUCCGCAAUGGGCGAAAGCCUGACGGAGCAACGCCGCGUGAGUGAUGAAGGUCUUCGGAUCGUAAAACUCUGUUAUUAGGGAAGAACAAAUGUGUAAGUAACUAUGCACGUCUUGACGGUACCUAAUCAGAAAGCCACGGCUAACUACGUG